CGCGCCUCCAGGAACCAGGACUGGAAAUUCCCACUCUGCUGAGGAAUGCAGAGGCAUUCCUGGAGCUGCACAGAAGUACAUUGUCGAAGCCGGGAUGUCCCUGGGGAAACAUAGGCCACUUCCAGCAUCGAUGGUGUCAGGUCAGGUCCUCUGGGUAGAAGAAAUGGAGUCAGUUAGGAGUGCUGGAGACUGAGUAAGAGGUGGCAGCUGAGGCUUACUACCCCAGGAAAGGGAUGCCACCAGAGAAGGCAGACAACCAAGAUGGCGACUCUCAAUUUUUGAGCUCCUAAUUUUCUCAUGUCAGACAUAAGAAAAAAAAAUAUUUUUUAAAGAAAAAGCUUUAGGUUGCAAAAAUCUAGGCCUUUCAACUUUAAAAUCCUAUUCUUGCAAGCCUUGGAGAAUAAAGCUUAUGCAUAAACAGUAGAUUUGGAAACAGAAAUAUGCCUAAUUACCCAGAGCCAUUCUUUCAAUACGCCAGUGAUUGUUUAAAGAUUCUAUAGGCUGGAGUCAAUGGCAGGAGGCGGGUGGGAAAAGAGUCAAGAGGGAGGAGAGAAGAAGCAAGAGGGUUGGGUAGAUAUUGUCACAUGACCCUGAGAGGAGGAUUCUGGGUCAAACCCCUAGGGGGUUGUGUGUAAUGGAGACUCCAGAUCCAUUUGGGAAUCUGGCUCCAAAGAAGACUUCACCUUGCCUUCUGAGUGGAGCCCUGAAGUGGCAAGACUCAUAGAAUUCCCCCACGGGUCCACACAAGAGAGAAUGAAUAGAGAAGGCUGCGUGCUGGCUGGACCAAGGCAGCCUCGGGUGACACCACCACCACCACCGCCGCUGCCGCCAUCGCCAUCACCACUGCCGCUGCCAUCACCGCCACCACCACCACCAUCACCACCACCAUCACCACAUUAUGGACAAUAGCCCAAUGUUUCCUGAGUUCCCUAGAGGGUUGAAAGAGAAUAGGACCUAGAGAGAUCACAUAGUUGGGACAGGCACUCAUUAAUUUGAUCCAAUGACAAGAGACCAGAUGGGAAGAAGGAUGCCUUGAGAGAUGUCAGUGUGCACCCAUGGAUAGAAGCAGCUGGUGACUGGGUACUUGGGAAGCCACAUGGACACACACAAAGCUCCUGGAAGACGUUUUCAAGGAGUUGGGCUGUGCUGGGAUCCAGAACUGGCUGAAGAAACCAUGAGCUGACAUAAAAUUUCUGCCACCUAGCAGAAUGGAGGCUCCAUUUGGAAAUUAAAUUAUAUACUUAAAAAAACUAUAAUUGCUUCAUUUCUUUUUUUUGAGAUGGAGUUUCACUCUUGUUGCCCAGGCUGUAGUGCAAUGGCACCAUCUCAGCUCACUGCAAACUCCGCUCCCGGGUUCAAGAGGUGAUCCUGCCUCAGCCUCCCGAGUAGCUAGGAUUACAGGUGUGCGGCCACCAUGCCCCGCUAAUUUUGUAUUUUCAGUAGAGACGGGGUUUUACCAUGUUGGUCAAGCUGGUCUCAAACUCCUG
rnacentral:lncRNA from 1 species